CGUUCAUUCUGUCUCUUGUGUGUAGACCGACAUUUGGUUCAAAGGCAGCAGAAUGGUCUUUUCAGGAAAUGACAAAGAUGCCAUAGUACUCAAGUGCUUCAGGGCUCGCAUUACUGAUCGUUCAUCAAACUCACUUCUGUGAGCUCCUUGGACACCUCUGGCUUCACCGCCGCCCUGCCUCAACCCACCUUCCACUGCAGCCGCCGUCACCUGUCCUAUCUGAUAGAACCACAGCCAAAAGGUCCAUCGGCCAGCAAACGGAUAAACAACACAUGGUACAUACAUACGAUGGAGUAUUAUUCAUCCUUAAACAGGAAGGAAAUCCUGACACAUUCGACAGCUUGACUGAACCUUCAAAACAUGAUGCUAAGCACAUAAGAAGUAACACAUGCCUUGGAAGGAGUAACAAAGGGACAAAUUCAUCGUAAUUCCACUUCCGUGAGGAACCUGUCACCAUAUUCAGAGAGACAGGAAGCAGAAGGCAGCUGCUGAGGUUGAGGAGCCGAGGCAGGUGCUGGCGUUUCGCAGAUCCCGUUUUAGUUGGGGAACAGGAAAUAUCCUGCAUCGGCGAUGGUGACCGUUGUACAAUGCUGUGGAUGUACUCAGUACCCCUGGACUGCUCACAGGAAAAUGAUUAAAAUGGCAAAUUUUAUGUUAUAUAUCUUUUACCACAAUGCACUUUAGAAAAUACUUCAAGCUUACAGGAAAGUGCAUAUAACAACCACUUGCACAAGUUCCUGGAUUUAAUAAAUGCUUGCA